UUUCCCUCAAACUCUGAAGAACUACUCUGAGGUGCUCGUCAUGCUCAUCCUCAGUCCUCGAAUAAACUAAUAUGUCGCGGUCCAAAUAUGUAACACCCCGAACCCGAGACCGUCGCCGGAGUCGAACACGAGGUGUUAACAGACUUCAACCCACUUAUCAGCCAGGAGGUUUGCCUAGAAGCAGCCACCCUUGAAAGAGUGCGUAAUAGCUCACUGAUCGAGCGCUCUUGCGCCGAAGAUGAACGGGGCUAAGCGAUCUGCCGAAGCUGUGGGAUGUAAAAAUGCAUCGGUAGGGGAGCGUUCCGCCUUAGGGGGAAGCACCCGCGUGAGCGGGAGUAGACGAAGCGGAAGCG
rnacentral:ncRNA from 1 species